rnacentral:rRNA from 1 species
UACGGAGGGGGCCAGCGUUGCUCGGAAUUAUUGGGCGUAAAGGGCGCGUAGGCGGCUUGGUAAGUUUGAUGUGAAAUCCCAUGGCUCAACCAUGGAACUGCAUCUCAUACUGCCGAGCUAGAGUCUGGGAGAGGGAAGCGGAAUUCCCGGUGUAGCGGUGAAAUGCGUAGAUAUCGGGAAGAACACCAGUGGCGAAGGCGGCUACCUGGACUGACACUGACACUGAGAUACGAAAGCGUGGGGAGCAAACAGG